ACUCUACCCUCGAACAUAGAAAAAAAUCAUGAAAGAGGGAGAAAACGGAUGUGGUUGUUCAUUCUCUCAGUUCUGGAUUUGAUAGAUUCAAGCAUAGAUGGCGUCGGCACCGCCGAUGAACAAGAUUGAGAGGAAUGAUCAGAUGUAUAGGGAAGGUCAGUAUGAAGAAGCUUUAGGAUUCUCUACUUUGAGGCGCUUUGUAUGGCCAAAACCAAGCCUCAGAAGAUUGCUCUCCAUUGCAACAGAGCCGCUCGCUUGUUACCUCAAAUUGCACGAUUUCAAAAAGGUUCGAAUUUUAUUUCGUCACCGCUAUAUAUAAUAUAUGGUGCUUCAAGAAUUCAAGGCGUUUAUGGAUGGUGCUCAUCAACUACGUUAGUAUUAAUAACAUUUUAAAAUUUUCAUUUGAUAUUUAAAAUUUAUAAAAUACGUUUUUAGAUUUAAUAACUUUGUAUUUAAGGUUUAAUUUAAUAGUAUGGAAUAACAGAAU